GAUGAACGCUGGCGGCGUGCCUAAUACAUGCAAGUCGAGCGGAUCUUCAUUAGCUUGCUUUUGAAGAUCAGCGGCGGACGGGUGAGUAACACGUGGGCAACCUGCCUGUAAGACUGGGAUAACUUCGGGAAACCGGAGCUAAUACCGGAUAAUCCUUUCCCUCACAUGAGGGAAAGCUGAAAGACGGUUUCGUCUGUCACUUACAGAUGGGCCCGCGGCGCAUUAGCUAGUUGGUGAGGUAAUGGCUCACCAAGACGAGGAUGCGUAGCCGACCUGAGAGGGUGAUCGGCCACACUGGGACUGAGACACGGCCCAGACUCCUACGGGAGGCAGCAGUAGGGAAUCUUCCGCAAUGGACGAAAGUCUGACGGAGCAACGCCGCGUGAACGAUGAAGGCCUUCGGGUCGUAAAGUUCUGUUGUCAGGGAAGAACAAGUACCGGAGUAACUGCCGGUACCUUGACGGUACCUGACCAGAAAGCCACGGCUAACUACGUGCCAGCCGCCGCUGUAACAC
rnacentral:rRNA from 1 species